ACUUUAUUGUAUGAUCGAUCGCCAGUAUUUGCACAACCUUCACAGCAACACAAUUAGCCUGUUCUUGCAGCAGUUGAUUUACGCGGAAACAUUUGUUAAGCAAAAUCUCCAUCUCGUUCGUCCAUGAUGUCUGAGCGACGCUAUGGCUACUUUCGUUGUCCAAAGUGCGGCGCCCACUGGGAGAGUUCCCAUGUCUACUGUCACGGUUCCAAGGCUGUUUACGGACAAGAAUGCAAGAGGUGUGGAACUAACUGCCUCCCAUUCAAGGUAGAGCCUAUCGUCUGCUCCCAGUGCAGACAACAUGCAUAUGCACCAGAGAAGACCGAAAGAAGAGGAAUGUUAACCCCUCCAAACCUCAUAGGUCUGAACUCUGCGAGAAGUGCAAGUCAGGAAUAAAAUGUCAAUGGUGAUAUUUCAGCCUUGACACUUGACAGCCUGUAGCACCAGACACGCUUACUUUCCUUAAAGAUUCCAUUUUCUGUGAUGACGAACGUUUUGGAUAAUUGUAAGAACUGUAAUUAGAAAUGUAUUAAACCUUAUCGCCCACCCUA